rnacentral:rRNA from 1 species
AGUGAACGCUGGCGGUAGGCCUAACACAUGCAAGUCGAACGGCAGCACAGUAAGAGCUUGCUCUUACGGGUGGCGAGUGGCGGACGGGUGAGGAAUACAUCGGAAUCUACUUUUUCGUGGGGGAUAACGUAGGGAAACUUACGCUAAUACCGCAUACGACCUACGGGUGAAAGCAGGGGAUCUUCGGACCUUGCGCGAUUGAAUGAGCCGAUGUCGGAUUAGCUAGUUGGCGGGGUAAAGGCCCACCAAGGCGACGAUCCGUAGCUGGUCUGAGAGGAUGAUCAGCCACACUGGAACUGAGACACGCUCCAGACUCCUACGGGAGGCAGCAGUGGGGAAUAUUGGCUAAUGGGCGCAAGCCUGAUCCAGCCAUACCGCGUGGGUCAAGAAGGCCUUCGGGUUGUAAAGCCCUUUUGUUGGGAAAGAAAAGCAGCAGGUUAAUACCCCGCUGUUCUGACGGUACCCAAAGAAUAAGCACCGGCUAACUUCGUG